AUUGAACGCUGGCGGCAUGCUUUACACAUGCAAGUCGAACGGUAACAGGCCGCAAGGUGCUGACGAGUGGCGAACGGGUGAGUAAUGCAUCGGAACGUGCCCAGUCGUGGGGGAUAACGCAGCGAAAGCUGUGCUAAUACCGCAUACGAUCUAUGGAUGAAAGCGGGGGACCGUAAGGCCUCGCGCGAUUGGAGCGGCCGAUGUCAGAUUAGAUAGUUGGUGGGGUAAAGGCCUAUCAAGCCGACGAUCUGUAGCUGGUCUGAGAGGACGACCAGCCACACUGGGACUGAGACACGGCCCAGACUCCUACGGGAGGCAGCAGUGGGGAAUUUUGGACAAUGGGCGCAAGCCUGAUCCAGCAAUGCCGCGUGCAGGAAGAAGGCCUUCGGGUUGUAAACUGCUUUUGUACGGAACGAAACGGUCUGGGUUAAUACCCUGGGCUAAUGACGGUACCGUAAGAAUAAGCACCGGCUAACUACGUGCCAGCAGCCGCAGUAAAAC
rnacentral:rRNA from 1 species